GAAACUGAUAUUACACUUUUGGCCCAGGCCAAUCUACCUAUGGAUUACUGGGGAUAUGCAUUCUGCAGUGCUAUUCACCUUAUCAAUCGUCUGCCCACUUCGGUCCUGAAAGGUUAGUCUCCGUAUCUGAAUCUUUAUGGUCGUGAACCUACAUAUGAUCGCUGUAAGACUCAAUUUGUGCCCGGGCCUAUACCAAAACUAAAACCAAAAAUAAAAUAAAACAACAAAAAUAAAUCCAAUGCCCCUUUUACAAACAUUGAGAUCCAAUACCCAUAAGCCCUAAAACUCGAGGCCCAAUACACCCAAAAUUCCCAGCAGCACUAGGAGUUUCUGGAACAUGCCAGACCUGCAUGGCCUUCUCCAUCGUACAGUAGUCCCGUGCUCCCAUAGAAGCUGCGAGAACAAAAAGAAUAACAGAAAUGCCAGCUAAAAAUAUGAUUUUCAUUUUUUUUCCUUUUUAUUUAUUUUGCAAGUUUGGCUAUAAAAGCCAUGGAUGUACUAUAAAUUGGGGAUUACGCACACUACGCAUAUUAAUCAAACAAAGGAAAUCAGUCAAAGUUCAAGGUGAUUUCCGAUUCGAGUUUCUUUAAGUUUUUUUUUCCUUUAUUUCUUUUUCAAUUUGUUUUUUAGAAUACAUCAUUAUUGCAUUUUGUUUUUAAAAAAAAUAAAGAAAAACAAAGGAAAGGAGCAAUACCGUGCGAGUACGCCAAGGAUCUUCUCUUUGCUUCGUUGGAAUUGAAGUUGAAGGAAGAUCAAUGCUGAAAUGGUUCUUCAAAGACUGCAAAGGCUACAAAGAAAAGUCAGCAGUUAAGGGACGAUUUGGGGGUUUGCUAAAAGCAAAGGGAAAGGAGAAAGGGGACGAUACCUUGUGAUUUGGCCAUCGGUUCACUCUUGCUUCGUUGAAAUUGAAGUUUAAGGGGAUCUUGAGGCUAAAAAACACCCUUCAAGGCUUGAAUGAACCGAUCGAUGUUCAUGGAGGUUGAUUGGAGUUUGAAUGAAGGGAUUUUGGGAACG
rnacentral:lncRNA from 1 species